rnacentral:hammerhead_ribozyme from 1 species
AUUCAACUGACAAGUCCUAACUAGGAUGAAAUGUGCGUCUUGAAU